UACGAAGGGGGCUAGCGUUGUUCGGAUUUACUGGGCGUAAAGCGCACGUAGGCGGAUCGUUAAGUCGGGGGUGAAAUCCUGGAGCUCAACUCCAGAACUGCCUUCGAUACUGGCGAUCUUGGAGUCCGGAAGAGGUGAGUGGAACUCCUAGUGUAGAGGUGGAAUUCGUAGAUAUUAGGAAGAACACCAGUGGCGAAGGCGGCUCACUGGUCCGGUACUGACGCUGAGGUGCGAAAGCGUGGGGAGCAAACAGG
rnacentral:rRNA from 1 species